ACUGAGCCCACGCGAGGGGCCCCAGAGAGGGGUCUAGAUAAGCGGGGGUGGGGAUGCGGGGGUGCAACCCCCAAAGAAAAGGGAG
rfam:Pteropus vampyrus cont1.93370, whole genome shotgun sequence.